GACGAACGCUGGCGGCGUGCUUAACACAUGCAAGUCGAGCGGAAAGGCCCUUCGGGGUACUCGAGCGGCGAACGGGUGAGUAACACGUGAGUAACCUGCCCCAGACUUUGGGAUAACCCUCGGAAACGGGGGCUAAUACCGGAUACGACACAGCUUCGCAUGGGGUCUGUGUGGAAAGUUUUUCGGUUUGGGAUGGGCUCGCGGCCUAUCAGCUUGUUGGUGGGGUGAUGGCCUACCAAGGCGACGACGGGUAGCCGGCCUGAGAGGGCGACCGGCCACACUGGGACUGAGACACGGCCCAGACUCCUACGGGAGGCAGCAGGGGGGAAUAUUGCACAAUGGGCGGAAGCCUGAUGCAGCGACGCCGCGUGAGGGAUGACGGCCUUCGGGUUGUAAACCUCUUUCAGCAGGGACGAAGCGUAAGUGACGGUACCUGCAGAAGAAGCGCCGGCCAACUACGUG
rnacentral:rRNA from 1 species